GAUGAAGAACGUAGCGAAAUGCGAUACGUAAUGUGAAUUGCAGAAUUCAGUGAAUCAUCGAAUCUUUGAACGCACAUUGCGCCCGCUAGUAUUCUGGCGGGCAUGCCUGUCCGAGCGUCAUUUCAACCCAUCAAGCUUAGCGCUUGUGUUGGAGCCCUGCGGCCGCCGCAGCCUCCUAAAAUCAGUGGCGGGCUCGCUAUCACGCUGAGUGCAGUAGUAUUCUUCUCACUCCUGUGGUGUAGCGGGUAACCAGCCCUAAACCCCCCCAUCUAUAAAGGUUGACCUCGGAUCAGGUAGGAAUACCCGCUGAACUUAAGCAUAUCAAUAAGCGGAGGA
rnacentral:misc_RNA from 1 species